rnacentral:tRNA from 1 species
AAAAAGGUAAGCUAAGAUAAGCUAAUGAGUUCAUACCUCAUUUAUAGAAAAUUCUCCUUUUUA